rnacentral:misc_RNA from 1 species
UCAAGAGUAACCCCACUAGUAAAAUAGUGGGGUUAACCUCCCGUCCUUUGCUUUUAACCCUCUAUUUUUUAGAGGGGGCAUUUAAUAUCUGCUUCGGUGGGGUUUACCCACCGGAACAACCUCAAAAAUUCUUUUAAAAAUCAUUCAGUCCGAGAAUUUUUUAAAUUGACAGA